rnacentral:RNase_P_RNA from 1 species
CGAGAGUUGAUUGCUACAUUUAUAUGUAGAGGAAAGUCCAGGCAUCCACAAUCUGCGACGAUUGUAGUGUUUGUAUCUAACGAAUAAAUAAGUUAGAGUAGUGAAAACUAACGACAAAUUGAUAACCUAAACGAAAGCAAGGUUAAGCAAUUAUAAAGUGCCACAGAAACAAUGUCUUUUGAAAAAAAGAGUGAAAAGCGGUAAACUCUGCAAGGAUGAAACCCAAAUAAUGGUAGGGGAAUUAAAUCAAAGGAACAAAACAAUGAUUUAGACGUGAAAACGUAGAUAAAUAAUCGACUGAAAAACAAAACUUGGCUUAUC